UACAACAUAGUGUUAAUGCACCCGAUCCCAUUAGAACUCUGGAGUUAAGCGAGCUGAAGCUAGAGUAGUACUAGGAUGGGUGACUGCUUACAAAGUCCUAGUGUUUUAC
rfam:Picea glauca, whole genome shotgun sequence.